GACGAACGCUGGCGGCGUGCUUAACACAUGCAAGUCGAACGGUAAGGCCCUUCGGGGUACACGAGUGGCGAACGGGGGAGUAACACGUGGGUGAUCUGCCCUGCACUUCGGGAUAAGCCUGGGGAACUGGGUCUAAUACCGGAUAGGACCACUGCCUACAUGGUGGGUGGUGGAAAGCUUUUGCGGUGUGGGAUGGGCCCGCGGCCUAUCAGCUUGUUGGUGGGGUGAUGGCCUACCAAGGCGACGACGGGUAGCCGGCCUGAGAGGGUGACCGGCCACACUGGGACUGAGAUACGGCCCAGACUCCUACGGGAGGCAGCAGUGGGGAAUAUUGCACAAUGGGCGCAAGCCUGAUGCAGCGACGCCGCGUGAGGGAUGACGGCCUUCGGGUUGUAAACCUCUUUCAGCACCGACGAAGCGCAAGUGACGGUAGGUGCAGAAGAAGGACCGGCCAACUACGUGCCAGCAGCCGCCGUAA
rnacentral:rRNA from 1 species